GCGGUGGCAUUGAAAUAUUCGUGUCAUUCUCAUUUAGAAAGUCAAAAUGAAUUAUUCAUUUGGUUUAAUAGAUAUUCAUGGCAAAUAUGCCGUUUGAGUUUUUUUUUUCUGUCUGGGCAUAUGUUUUCGUUUGAGACUUUUAAUCCAUUUUUAUUUUUAUACCACGGGUCUUGAUGCUGUGACCUAGGGUAUAUGGAAUUGUCAUAACAAGUUACUUUUGACAAAUAUGUGUUGAGAUCUACUUUUAAGGUUGUCUUUACGGCCUGUUCGUAUCUUCUGUCUUGGACAGGGUUGUAGAAGCCUCUGGACGUCGAACUGUUGAAGAGUGGGUCGAAGAUUUUGGUGGCCAACGCACAAGACCUGAUGAGGCGCCUGGGGGAAGCGUCCCUGCUGCUGUAAGUCCCGUGGAUGCGGCUCGGCUCCCUGCUAUCUGAAGAUCAUGCUCUGCGCUGUCGUUUUAUUGACUCUCUCUUGUUUUGUCUGCCCUGCGUGGCAGGGGUUAAAUUGUGUCGUAUUUUGGAUGCCAGUUUAAACUUGGAUAGGGCUGUAGUCUGGAAAUGGAGUUGCUGUGUGAGAGUCGCUGAGAGAGAUGAGUCAAAGGGAGUGAGGACACAAGUCUGGAGAAGAUCGAUGAGAGUUCGGCCAUUGGGUCGGAUGAGAUCACAUGUUCAUUCCCGCAUGGGUCAUCUAUCCUAGGAUCGAUCCGAAUAUGGGACCAUGCCAUUUGAGUAUAAAACCAUGGAAGUUCGUACAUGGAAUACCAAAAGGAGUGUCUCCAUCGAAACUCACUAGAG
rnacentral:lncRNA from 1 species